CUGAUCUCAGAGGACAACUGCAUGUUCUGGUCGGAGGAGCAAGGCACCAUGAGGAGGCAGGCGGAGGUGGACAGUUAAAUAAAGCAUCACUCCACACCAAUUAAAAGCAGCAGAACAGGGUCUGUGCCAACCUGCUUUGAAGGAACCGUGCGGCAGGGAUGCUUUGGAUGUACAGUUCUACAGUUCUUCUACCUUCCUGUUUUGGUUGCUCUGGCGGACCUGAGGCUCCUUGGCACGGAGGCCAUCUGCUUGACUCCCACUAUCUCAACCAUGAAGCAGACAGCAGAGGGGUCCUCCCUCCACAUGGGCAGAAAGAGGAUCCUUGAAGGAAGAGGGCAUUGCUGUGCUUGGCUGGGCCGGGUCCCAUGAGGUCAGCGGCAGAAGCUACGCCCAAGUUAAGCUUAAUUAAAACCAGUGUACUCGAUGAAACUUGGCAGCCAGAGAGCUUCUCAGAGCAUCACCCUGCCAGGGGUAAAUCAUUCACCUCCCUGGCACUAGGCACAGCACUGAGGCCUCUCGCUUGGUUUUAGGGCAGGCUGGGAUUGUGUCGCCAGCCUCUAGGCCUGGCCUCAUCUAACUACCCCUUUCCUACAGGUGACGUAACAUGUUCAUGGACAUUUUGGGUUGUUCCAAACAGGAUCAAAAUUCUAUCAGCCUGCAAACUGUGCCACCAAGCCUUCCCACAGGCAAAAGAUUUUUCUGAACAUGGCUAUCAGCUGCCUCUUGUGGCCGUAGAACUACCUAAAAUCGACAUGGCUUAACAUAAAAACAACAAACUUUUUUUUUUUCAGCUUUGUACUUUAGGAGGUCAGAAAUCCAAAGUGAGUCAUGUGGGAUAUAACUUGGGUGAUUGCAAAACUAGGUUUCUUCUGGCAGUUCUAGGGACCAUGUGUUUCUUGCCUUUUCCAGCUUCUAGAAGCUUCCUACAUGUACUAGGUCUUCUGGCACCCUUCUCCAUCAUUAAAGCACAUUUUCAACAUCUGC